GAUAUACUUCAUCCUUCCUAAAAUUUUUGUCUUAGGUUUGUUUAAAAAUAAAUGUAUCUAAAUACUAAAACAUAGCUAGAUACAUUCUAUCUAGACAAAUAUAAGACAAGAAUUUUAGAACGGAGGAAGUAGUUG
rfam:Hordeum vulgare subsp. vulgare, WGS project CAJW01000000 data, contig: morex_contig_1567601